UUAAAGUGGCAGAUUUUAUGCAUGGAAUUUAAGCUUCCUCUACGAUUAAUUCCUUUAAUA
rnacentral:tRNA from 1 species